rnacentral:misc_RNA from 1 species
UCUCAGUUUUUUCCAUACUUUCUUAUGUAAUCCCUGGAUUUGGUGUCACAAGCAAUUGGGAUGUUUGAAAGUUUUUUUUUUUAAGUCUCUGUUUGUAAAAUGUCAUUUUGUUUGAUUUUUUUCAUUGUUAAACUUGCUGAUACUGUAUUGUGUGUCAUUUGUUUGAUAUACUGUAGAAUUGCUCAUGUCUAGGUUGUAAUUUUGUCAUGGUGUCUGAGUAUUUUGACUUAGUAGGGACAAUCAAUCUAAUGAUGCAUAAUAUAUUUAUUUAUUCUACAAAAGAAAUACACCUACAUGAUAGAGAAAUGUAAUUAUGAAUCAUUGUUAUGUAAUGUGCCAAUUCACCCAUUGAAAAGUUGUCUUCCAUCACAGUAUUUUUCUAUAUAUAUAUAUAUGUUUCCAGGUUGUGGUGAAACCGGUCAGAAUUGAAAUAUAUUGAGUACAUGUAAAACAUAUUCUUUAAGCCAUAUGUACUCACAAUGUUGAUAUAUUUGCUAUAAAAACACAAUUAUUGUUGCAAGCAUUAUUACUUUGAUCUGAUUCUAGUGUUAAGUAGUCAGUGUCAGUAAGGAAAGAGUCCUCAUUUACAGUGUAUUAUUUUAUCUGUUGUGGUCGGAAGACAAGAGAAAACAAUGUACAGUAUGAUUUUCUAUCAGAAUGUUUUAUUUGUCUCAAUGUAAAAGUUUAUGUCCCUGUGAAAUUUGUUGAAAUAAAGUUUAAGAAUGC